CUUGUCUUUAAUUUUUAUUCGUAUUUCUUCAGCGUAACUUUCAGCCGUGAGAUUGCGUUUCAAACUAUCUACAAGUAAUUAAUAAAAUCCUUGAUCUACGAACCUAUCAUCGCCUAGUUCAGUCCGAUGAGCGUAUCCCCACUUGAAGGUUUCAACGAUACGCUGCCAGAAUGUUUCUUUGCUAAUAUCCAUCGGAAGUAUUUUUUCGAGGACUUUGAGUAUGAAAGUCAAUAUUAAUCCCGAGCCAGAAACAGCGGAUCCAUCAGGAGCAAGUACGGAAACAUGAGCAGUUCCAGAAUCCAUUGGACUAUCAGUCUCAGCUCCAUAAAACUUGGGAUCAUUACUGGUCCAAUUGUCAACAAUUUUUCGGCGAAUUUCUUCGGCGUAUUUUUUGGACGUUAAAUUCCACGUUAAAUCGUCUGAAAAUUAAUAAUAACUUCAUUUUGUCCGAUGAGCGUAUCCCCAUUUGAAGGUUUCGAUGAUUCGCUGCCAGAAUGUUUCUUCAGUAAUAUUCAUUGAAACUAAGUUUUCGAGGACAUUGAGCAUGAAUGUCAACAGUGAUCCUGAACCAGGUAAUGCUG